GAGCUCGGAGAGCACGGGGUCCGACUCUCUAGACUAGUUCCCUUCUGCUUUUUUUUUCGUACUUCAGAGAGCUUCGCUCACAUUUUGACAGCAAAAUGUUCCUUCUGGUUGUGUUAGUGUGAAAAGUGUUGAAAGGGCAGAGUGCAUGCAGAGUACAAUGCAGCAAAUGUGGAAAAGACAAGAACUCACAGCACCAUGAAGAUGUCCUCUGCUCUGGUCACUUUAUUUGGACGCUGCAAUUUAGGACUAACAGGACAGCAAAGCUAUCGCUCAUCCUUCUUAUUACAGUCGUUUUUACAUGUUUUACAAAAUUGUUGAACACAAUUAUUAGUUUCAAUUUAUGAAAUUGGCAAUACAAUUUUGUGUUCAAUUAGAAGUAUGUCUAUUAAUAAGAGAACAAACAUGGUUGAAAAAGUUAACAAUUAUACAGCUUAUAACUGGAUUUGA